rnacentral:lncRNA from 1 species
ACCAAAAUGACACAGACAUUAACAACUAUAGGUCACCGUACGGCCUUCAACAAUGAGCAAAGCCCAAACCGCAUAGUCAGCUAUAAAAGGCCCGGAUAAGACAAUGUAAAACAAUUCAAACGAGAAAACUAACGGCCUUAUUUAUGUAAAAAAAAGAACAAAAAACAAAUAUGUAACACAUAAACAAACGACAACCACUGAAUUACAGGCUCCUGACUUGGGACAGGCACAUACAUAAAUAAUGUGGUGGGGUUAAACAUGUUAGCGGGAUCCCAACCCUCCCCCUAACCUGGGACAGUGGUAUAACAGUACAACAUAAGAACGAACUAUAAAAAUCAAUUGAAAAUGGCUUAACUCAUCAGAUGGACAAAUAUACAAGUGGACGUGGGCCGGUAUGUAUAUUUAUAUAUUGGGGAUUUAUUUUUGUUUCCAAACAGAAUUCUAAGGUUAUGUAUAAGUGCCUCCGUUCACUGCACAAUUGUAAAUUGUCUUCCUAAAGACCAGCAAAAAUAAAUGGCACAAGUUCACGUAGUCAUAAAAGAAGUCGUAUAAUUUACGAUAAAUCGAAC